rnacentral:rRNA from 1 species
UAAUCAAGCCUGGUGAUAGCUGGUUCUCCCCGAAAGCUAUUUAGGUAGCGCCUCGGACGAAUACCAUAGGGGGUAGAGCACUGUUUCGGCUAGGGGGUCAUCCCGACUUACCAAACCGAUGCAAACUCCGAAUACCUAUGAGUACUAUCCGGGAGACAGACUGCGGGUGCUAACGUCCGUAGUCAAGAGGAAAACAAUCCAGACCGCCAGCUAAGGCCCCAAAAUCAUAGUUAAGUGGGAAACGAUGUGGGAAGGCAUAGACAGCUAGGAGGUUGGCUUAGAAGCAGCCACCCUUUAAAGAAAGCGUAAUAGCUCACUAGUCGAGUCGGCCUGCGCGGAAGAUGUAACGGGGCUAAAACUAUGUGCCGAAGCUGCGGAUGUAUACUUUGUAUACGUGGUAGGGGAGCGUUCUGUAAGCCGAUGAAGGUGUGUUGAGAAG